UUGACCUUUCCCUCUAGAAACCAAAAGAAAACAAUAGAAACAAGAGAUAAAAGAGGGAGGAAAAACUGAUAAAAAUAAGAAAAAGAGAAGAGAAAGUGAGUGAAAUAGAUAUAUUUGGGGUUUCAACCUAAGGAAAGAGGAACAAGACAGAACUUAUGGAAGGAGAAGAUAGGGCUCCAAAAGUUAAGGGGAAAAACUCAAGAUAAAUGUAUGACUCUCUCAUUUCCUUAUAAUAAUCUUUAUAAUAUGGUUGUUGCGGCCUAAAAUUGCGAGUAUUUCUCGAAUUCAAUGAAGUUGUCACGAAGAUUUAUUUUAAAAUAAGAAAAAUAUUUGAAAAACCUUAAAAAUAGAAAAAUGGUAUUUGAAACCAAAUUUUUGAUUCGAGAGUCGAUUAUUUUUAAGGAAGUUUGGAUGAAAUUUUCGAAACUUUGGAUGAAUUUGAAACUUCCGAAGCACAUAUACUUCAAAAAUUUCAAACCUUCGAAGUAAUUCCUUUUCGAAAG
rnacentral:lncRNA from 1 species